GCGUGUGUGAUGUAAUGGUAGCAUAGCUCACUUCCAAUGAGCUCGUAUCGGUUCGAGUCCGAUCACACGUA
rnacentral:tRNA from 1 species